GGAUAGCCUGGGGAGAAAUGCCAAAUGUGGGUGAAGGGGAGGAAGGCAGCAAAACACACUGCCAUGUUUGUACCUAUGCAAAUGUCUUGCAUGUUCUGCACAUGUACCCCAAAACCUAAAAUGCAAUAAAAAAAAAAGGAAAAAGAAUUCAACCAAAUACCCAUUUGUUAGCCCAGCAUUGGAAGUCACCAGCCUUAAAGAAUGAUUGGAGAGAAUAAAAGAGAGAGAGAGAGAAAAAAGAAUGAUUGGAGAAUCAACCAGUACCAGUACUGCCAGCUUUCAUCUCCUUCAUAUCCAUCUGUACCCAGUAGAAUUUCUUGGAGCCCAGAAAACGUUAAUUGAAAAGAUAAGUCUGCUUAGGAAAACAGCUGUAUUUUAAGCAGAUGUGGAAUUUGGGGAGGAGCCAUGUAGACAUCUAUAAUUCUAUACAUCAUGAUUAUUUUCAGUGACCUGAAACCUGGAGCAGAUUCUAAGGGUUAAACAAUGUCCAUAGUAUUACUCUUUAGGACUGUCUUGGUCCCCUACCCAAUCACUGUCACACUGCCUUGGCUCUUAUAGGCCUAAGUGCAUGAGUUGCUUGUUAUUUGUCUGGGUUGUUGGUUAAUUUUGGAGGCAACCAUCUUGUGGGUAUGAUUUCCUUCCUUUAUAAAUGACAACACGUGGGUUGCUAUGUUUUAUGUUUCAUUUUACAUACUUUGUCCUCCAUCUCCCACCAACCCUCUCACCAUUUCUGUUUAAAGAUAUUAUUCCUUAUAUAUGUAGAUUCUUCCAAAAGAUUUACAUGCCCAUGUGUGCUCAUGUGCACAUACAUACACACGUAUACUCACAAUACAUUUAGGCUUCCGAAUAUAUUCUUUUGUUUUCUUGACUCAAUUAUUCCAUUUAUUGACUCAAUUAUUCCAGGAAUCCUGGAAAAACAGAGGGGUGAGGGAGAAAGGAUGAUUGUGGUUAUAAGGUUUAAAUGUAUUAUAGCAUUAUCAGUUGACAAUUGAGGAACUGUGCUCUCAGUGAAUUACAUGUUUCAACUAUGUCAUUGGCUCUGGAGACUCAGACAGAGAGUAGUUAUCCAGAUAAAGAAAGGUCUGAAAACAAACAAGAAAUAGGAGUUGCAUUUUGGAAGUAUUCUCAUUCAUAAAACUGAGAGAUCACAUUCAUUGCAAAAGGGCAUCCACUGGAAUGCUGGCUGAGCUUAUGAUUAGAGCAUUCAUUCAUUUAUUUAACAGAUAUUUAGAGUUUUUUAUGUAGUGGGCACUGUCCUAGGUGCUAGAGAUACGUUAAUAAGCAAAGGCAAGCAUGGUUCUUGCUGGUAAAUAACAACUGGCUUUACAAAAACAAAAACUAUGAUUUUUAGUAUUUGUUCAUUUCUAUGAUGUAAAUGCCCCCACUACAGCCAAUUUCAAGCUACCAAUGUUCUACAGUGUAGGAAGAUAUGGAUACAUUAAGCAAAUCUGAGCCAGCAUGAGCUGGCUUCAGCACACUUCGGGUCUUUGCUGUCCAAAAGCUUACAGUAAAAUUGCGAAGACAUACAUUUAAAAUAUUACUUGAAUAAAAGUGCAACUUCGAACCAUGACAGGGCUGUCAAGAAGGGGAAUGUGGCAUUGGUAGCCUGCAAUAAAUGAAUAUAAACUAUUUUGUGAAAUUAUUGGAAGUAUUCACUGGGAAACUGAUAGUUAAGUUGAGAGCUGAAGGUGCAAAAGAUUUCCUCCUUGAGGAAAGGAGGAGUGUUUCAGAUAGAAGUUUUAGCUCAUGCAAAGGCUCUGUGGUGGGAGAAAACUUGGUAUAUUUGAAGAAAACAAAAGAAGGCUUUGUGACUGAACCAUGAGAGGAAACGGGGCAUGUGCUGAGUUGGAAGUGGUAGGCAUGAACCAUACUUGACUUAUAAGCUUUGAGAAAAAUGUGGAUCUUUAUCCUAAAAGCAGAGGUUAUCUAUUGAAGACUUUUAAGCCUGAGAUUAAAAUGAUGAAAUUGCAUUUUGAAAAUAUCACUCUAGCUACAGCACAGAGGAAAGAUUGGAAUUGACCUUGAUGGAGAGCUGGGAGAUGAUGAGUAGUCUGUUGCAGCAGUCUAUGUAGGAGAUGCUCGUAAACUGGCCUAGGGUCUGGAAAUAAAAAUCGAAGGAAGGGGAAAGAUUUCAGAGAUAUUUAUGACUCUAAAUUAAGAUGAGUUAAUAAGGGUUAGUGUCCAAUAAUAUGUUGCCAAGUCUUUCUGACUUUGCACAACUGGCUGGGUAGUGAUGCCAGAGAGAACGUUUGGGAACACCAUUGUGUGUGUAAACGCAUAUGUGCACAUGUAGGGGAAAAGCCGAAGUUUUGGGCAUAAGAGUUCGAAUAAUCUUUGAGGCAUCUAAGUAGAUGUGUCAAACAUGUUAGAUAUAUAGUACUAGAACUCAAAGUGGAGGUCUGGCCUAGAGUCUGUAUUUUGGAGUAAUUUUCAUGUGAAAGAAAAUUGAAGAAUUAUGUGUCUUUAACCCUGCUCUUCAGGCAGCAGACAUCUUUUCAGCACAUAUCAGAUGGCUUAAACUUUCUUUUCUGGAAUUCUUUUUCAUUUGUAUAACAGAUAGUAAUGCAUCUUGGCAACUCAAUAAGAUUUGGGGAAUACUGAGUUUAUUUUCUGAGUUAUUUUUCUCUAAAGAUUUGUAUUCACUUAAUAGGCAGUAUAUUAAGUAGAAUAGUGUGCACAAACUGUUUAGCAUAGUGCCUGGCCUGUAGUCAGAACUCAGACAAUGGUAAUUGUCAUUAGCAUCUUCUUCUUUUCUUGAUAUCUGGAUUACAAUUACUUAAUUUUCAUUAUCAAUAGGAUUGCUUUAUCAAUGUAUCAAAAAGAAACUCAUGAUAUUUAGGGGAAAAUGUCUAACAUAUAUACUUGAGGGUGUGUCGUGCAUGCGUGCGUGUGUGUGUGUGUGGAGAGAAGGCUUGGAAAGGAUACAUACUAAAUUUGAGGAAAUUACCUCUGAAAGAUGUAGAAUUGAAGGGGAGUUAGGCAACAAACAGGGUUUUUUUUAGCUAAAAAUUUGUAAAAUUUGAAUUUUUGUGAGUAUGCAUUCCUUUUAUAACUUUUUUGCAAAUGAAUUCACAUUGUACAAGUUGAAUAAACAUAGCUCUCACAUGAUGCGCCAGGAGUGACCAGACACAGUGGAUACAAGGCAGUUCUGAGAGGCAGGUACUGCCACGUGUGAAUGAUUGCAGAUAGAAUCACUGUGAAAUGAUUGUUGGAUUGUUUCCUGGUAAAGAGUAACUUAAAUGGUUGACAGAAGAUAAAACAGAAUCAAGACACUUGAUAUGUAUCUCAGUUGCUAUGUAACAAGCCACCCAAUGCAGUAAUUGAAAACAAUAAUAUUUCUUUUGCUCACAGGUUUGCAGUUUGCCUAGGGGCACAGUGGGGACAUUUUGUCUCUGCUCUAUUUGACAUCAGAUGAAGAUGAAAUGACCAGAAGGCUAAAGGGUGAAAACAUCUUCGGGGCCACUUGUUCAUGUGUCUGGUGGUUGGUGUGGGCAUGUGGUUGUGGCUCUAGAACAUCUACAUGUGACCCUUCCAAGUGGCUGUUUGUCUGUAUCAUAAUAUGGUGGCUAAGGUCCAAAGGCAGGUAUCCCAAGAGAGCCCAGUGGAAGCUGUAUCAACUUUAUAUUUUAUUUUUACUUCUUUUUUUUAUUUUUAUUUUUGGAGACAGAGUCUGGCUCUGUCACCAAGGCUGGAGUGCAGUGGCACGAUCUCGGCUUAUUGCAACCUCCACUGCCUGGGUGCAAGCAAUUCUGCCUCAGCCUCCAGAGUACCUGAGAUGACAGGUACAUACGACCAUGCCAGGAUAAUAUUUUGUGCUUUAGUAGAGACAGGGUUUUACCACAUUGCUCCGGCUGAUAUCAAACUCCUGAGCUCAGACAAUCCACCCUCCUUGGCCUCCCAAAGUGCUAGAAUUAGAGGUGUGAGCCACUGCACCCUGCCUACUUAUCUCUUUAGGGACAAUUACUCACUGUGUUGCUCAGGCCAGCCUCAAAUUCCUGAGCUCAAGUGAUCCUUCUGCCUUAGCCUCCCCAGGAGCUGGGACAAGAAGUACAUGCCACCAUGCUUGGGUUAGCAUCAACUUUUGUGAUCUCUUCUUGGAAAUUACGCUGCAUCAUUUCCUCCACAUUCUCUCAGUAAAGGUAGUCACAAUGCAUCACCCAGAUUCAAGGAGAGAAGAAACAGAUUCUACUUCUUGAUGAACAAGUAACAAGUUCUGCAAGAGCAUGUAGAAUCAGAAAUAUUAAUGUGACCAUUUUUGGAAAAUGCAAAUAGCCAAAAUAAGUCCUCCUUUCCAGUGUUAUCUGUGCCACAAAUUUGCAGUGCAAAUAUGGAAUAUUAUCCAGAUUCUCUCAGUUGCCACAGCUGAAUGUGAGAAUUGCAACUCUACUCCAAAACCACCUUCACGCAUUGUGAGAGCUGUAUUUUUACAUAGUAAGCCAAAUAAUUUUAGUGAUGGAGUACUAUCUUUCUCUUGCCUAGCACAGCUAUGAUUUUUAAAUUAAUUUCCCAGUGCACUGUCAAAUCUAUUUUAACCUAAAAGGCAAAUUGACACAUUCCAGGCAUGGUGUGUGACCCAGGAAGCUUGGUCUGACCCAGUAAGCCAUAGGUUUGUAUUAUUAUUAUUAUUUUUUUUUUCCUAAGCUUACUCUUCAAAGGCGAACAAAGAUAAAGCACAGAAAGGAAACUCAUGAAAAUGAAUGUUUGCAAUGGAAUUUCAAAUUGUUCUCUUAAAUGCACAUUAGUGUCCUUCCUGUGUACCAGCUAUACUUUGUACAGGUUGUGUGGAACUUACUGUGUUGUCUGAAAGUCGGAUUCAUUUCUCAUAUUAUUUAUUUAUUAGAAUUUGAGUCAACUCAUUCAUCUGUAUCCCCGAUGUCUUUGGUUCCAACGAGGGCAUGUGUGCUAGACCAUUAUUAACAGGAGACUAAUCACCCUGUAUUUACUGAUUAACCAUAGAGUAGUGCUUAGAGACUGUCAGAAAACAGCCAGUUAAUGGAGUCCACUAGAUUAGAAUUUCCUUUAUGUUGUAGUGUGAAUUGUUAGCCCAAGAUGAGCUGUAAAUUACAUUGGCAGGGUUUCUACUUUUUAAGAACACUAUUAUGGUAAAUUUUUAUUUCUUUGGACAUGCACAUGUUUUUUCCUGUUUGCCUUAAGAAGUUAAGGUCAUUAUGUAGCAUAAAUAUUAAAAAUUAAGCUCUUUUGAUAUUGACAUGUAAAACAAAACAAAAUGAAAAACUCCUACUUUAAUACUGUCUUUUAACAUGAGAAAAACAGGUUUUAUACAUGAUUAGAUUAAUCAGUUAAAUUGAAUUUUAACAAAGUUUUGCCCCCAAAUGUUUUCUUGUUUUUUCUUUGUUUGUUUUCUUAUUUAGACUGAAGACAAACAUGAAACAUUUAUCUUAAGAUAAGUCCACUUUUUAUUCUUCAGAAAUUUGUCAGACUUGAAACUUUUAGCUGCCCUUCUCCCAUAAUUAUGAUGCCAAAAUAGCAAAGUGAAUGAACCAGCAGUCUGUGUCUUCCCUGAUAUUAACAACAAAUAUGGAAUCCAAAUAUUGUGUGCCUGAAUGUGUAUAUUCAUUUAUACUUGUAAUGUCCACACCUCAGACAUUUAUUAUGAAAAUCGUCAGUUAAGAUAGUCAACCUAGCGGUUUGCCAGCUCACCUAGGGGAGCUUUUAUAAAGUAUGGAUUCUCGAGCCCUACACCCUAAAAAUGUUGUUCACAGGCUGAAUAUGUGACUUAGGAAAUCUAUAUUCUUCAAAUAUAGAAUAUUAUGCUUCUUAGUUAUCAGUCCAGUGUGGGAACAACUGAACUAGAACAUUUGCUAACCCUUGACAUAAUUUUGGUGGUGUAAGAUAUUCUGCAUUGAUAGAAAUUUGUAUAUCCCAGGACAAAGUGAUAUUAUGUUUGAAUUUCUCUCCUUGUUACAGUUUACAAUAGGGAUGCAGGAUAACACUAUACUGUUAUAUAUUGACUCACUUUAUAGUAGAAGCACAGCUUUAUCUUAAAAAUAGGGAAAGGAAUUCUAGUUCAUAAAUCUUCUCAUUUCCCUCUUUAGUUUAGUGCAUUUUGUUUUGUUUUGGUUUGUUUGUUUUUGAGAUGGAGUCUCGCUCUGUCACCCCGGCUGGAGUGCAGUGGUGCAAUCUCAGCUCACUACAAUCUCCACCUCUGGGGUUCAAUCGUCCUGCCUCAGCUUUCCAAGUAGCUUGGACUACAGGCGCCUGCUACCACACCUGGCUAAUUUUUUGUACUCUUAGUAAAGAUGAGAUUUCGCUAUGCUGGCCAGGCUGGUCUCAAACUCCUGACCUCAUGAUCCGUCUGCCUUGGCCUCCCAAAGUCCUGGGAUUAUAGGUGUGAGCCAUUGCACCCAGCCUACUUCUGUGUUUUGACUAAAAUAUAUUUUAUAUAUAAAUAUGUUAUAUAUAGUAAUAAUCGUGAUUAUUAUCAUUAUUUGGUCAUAAUAUUUCUUUUAGAUUGCCAAAGUACCUCUCACUGAAACUCGUGGAAUAAAUAAACAACUACAAAUAUUUCAUUAUGGUUAGAGGCAAUGAGUGAGGCACACUUCACAAAAUUGGAAAUUGUAGUAUGGAGCCACAAAAAAUAAAUAAGAUUUCCACCAGUAGAGGAGUAGAGAAAAGAUAUUUUCAGGUAGGACACAGAAAAAACAAAGGCACAGGGCUUGAAGUUUCACAGUACAUUCAGAGUUGGAUAAGUAGCUCAGCAUAGCCAGGCUCCAAUAUAUAUGGGAGCCAUCAUGGCUUGAAAUAUUCAAUCUUCUUCGCAAACACCACAUGAUUAUCUCAAUAGAUGCAGAGAAGGCCUUCAACAAAAUUCAAUAGCUUUUUAUGCUAAAAACUCUCAAUAAACUAGGUAUCUGCAGAACAUAUCUCAAAAUAAUAAAAGCUAUUUAUGACAAACCCACGGUCAAUAUCAUACUGAGUGGGCAAAAACUGGAAUUAUUCCCUUUGAAAUCUGACACUAGACAAGGAUGCCCUCUCUCACCACUCCUAUUCAAUAUAGUAUUGGAAGUUCUGGCCAGAGCAAUCAGGCAAAAAUUGAAAUAAAGGGUAUUCAAUUAGGAAAGGAGGAAGUCAAAUUUUGUCUCUAUUUGCAGAUGACGUGAUUGUAUAUUUAGAAGACCCCAUCAUCUCAGCCCAAAAUCUCCUGAAACUGAUAAGCAACUUCAGCAAAGUCUCAGGAUGCAAAAUCAAUGUGCAGAAAUCACAAGCAUUCCUACACACCAAUAACAGACUAAAAGAGAACCAAAUCAAGAGCCAGCUGCCAUUCACAAUUACUACAAAGAGAAUAAAAUACCUACAACUAUAACUAACAAAGGAGGUAAAGGACCUCUUCAAGGAAAACUACAAACCACUGCUCAAAGAAAUAAGAGAGGACACAGAUUGAAAAACACUGCAUGCUGAUGGUUAGGAAGAAUCAAUGUUGUGAAAAUGGCCAUACUGCCCAAAGUAAUUUAUAGAUUCAACACUAUCCCCAUCAAGCUACCUAUGACCCUCUUCACAGAACUGGAAAAAACCACCUUAAACUUCAUAUGGAACCAAAAGAGAGCUCACCCAGCCAAGACAAUCCUAAGCAAAAAGAACAAAGCUGGAGGCAUCACGCUACCUGACUUCAAACUAUCCUACAAGGCUACAGCAAUCAAAACAGCAUGGUACUGGUACCAAAAAAGAGAUGCAGACCAAUGGAACAGAACAGAGGCCUCGGAGGCAAUGCCACACAUCUACAACCAUCUGAUCUUUGACAAAGCUGACACAAACAAGCAAUGGGAAAAGGAUUCCCUGUUUAAGGAAUACUGGCUAUUCAUGUGCAGAAAGCAGAAACUGGACCCCUUCCUGACACUUUACACUAAAAUGAACUCCAGAUGGAUUAAAGACUUAAACAUAAGACCUAACAUCAUGAAAACCCUAGAAGAAAAUCUAGGCAAAACCAUUCAGGACAUAGGCAUAGGCAAGAACUUUAUGACUAAAACACCAAAAGCAUUGGCAACAAAAGCCAAAAUAGACAAAUGGGAUGUAAUUAAAUUCCAGAGCUUCUUCUGUACAGCAAAAGAAACAAUCACUAGAGUGAACCAGCAACCAACAGAGUGGGAAAAUAUUUUUGCAAUCUACCCAUCUGUUAAAGGACUUAUAUCCAGAAUUUGCAAAGAACUAAAACAGCUUUACAAGAAACAAACAACCCAUUCAAAAGCGGGUGAAGGACAUGAACAGACACUUUACAAAAGAAGACAUACAUGAGGCCAACAAACAUGAAAAAAUGCUCAUCAUCACUGGUCAUUAGAGAAAUGCAAAUCAAAACUACAUUGAGAUACCAUCUCACACCACUUAGAAUGGCGAUCAUUAAAAAAUCUGGAGACAACAGAUGCUGGAGAGGAUGCAGAGAAAUAGGAACACCUUUACACUGUUGGUGGGAGUGUACAUUAGUUCAACCAUUGUGGAAGACAGUGUGGUGAUUCCUCAAGGACCUAGAAAUAGAAAUUCCAUUUGACCCAGCAAUCCCAUUACUGGGUAUAUAUCCAAAGGAUUAUAAGUCUUUCUGUUAUAAAGACACAUACACAUCAAUGUUCAUUGUGGCACUGUUUACAAUAGCAAAGACCUGGAACCAACCAAAUGCCCAUCAAUGAUAGACUGGACAAGGAAAAUGUGGCACAUAUAUACCAUGGAAUAUUAUGUAGCCAUAAAAAACGAUGAGUUCAUGUCCUUUGUAGGGACAUGGAUGAAUCUAGAAACCAUCAUUCUCAGCAAACUGACACAAGAACAGAAAAUCAAACACCACAUGUUCUCACUCAUAGGUGGAUGUUGAACAAUGAGAACACACAGACACAGGGAAGGGAGCAUCACACACUGGGGUCUGUUGAGGGGAAAUGGGGAGGGACAGCUUGGGGUAGGGAGGUUGGGGAGGGAUAACAUGGGGAUAAAUGCCAGAAAUAGGUGAUGGGAACAUUGCCGUGUAUGUACCUAUGCAACAAUCCUGCAUGUUCUGCAUAAGUACCCCAGAAUCUAAAGCACAAUUGCAAUAAAAAAUGAAAUAUAUAUAUGUAUAUAUACUGAAGAUUUCUUUUGUGUGUGUGUAUGUAUAUACAUAUACAUAUAUACAUAUAUAUAUACAAAAGAAAUAUUCAGUAUUCAAUGACAGGAGUAAAGAAUUCAGUCUUGAUUCUAGGGCCAAUUAUCUGGAGUGGCUUUUUGAAGAAAUGUGUUAAGAUAGAUUCUGAGGCUGCAUCUGGCUCUGCGGUUGAUUAGGGCUUAGCCGUGGACAUAAGAUUGGGCAGCAGAGUAUCACUGCCAUACAUUUUGUAACCCUCCACUACACGAUGUAAAUUUUAUAUAUGUAUUCUUGAUGUUAGUGAUUUCUUUCACACCUUCUUUUAACUCGGUAAUCAAAUGUUUCUGUCCUGCUUUUGAUUCUCAUUGUGAUAUCUUGGAUUGUAUAUUGAGAUCUUUGAGGGAUUCAUGAAAUGCUGAACCUUUCACAAGGCUGUUUUGCUAUUGGCUGUUAUUUCAAUCCUGUUGGUAAGCACUGUGGCAGGACUCGGCUGGAAACUAGCAAAGUGGUAAAAACCAGGUGAAAUACAAUGCAGUGUUCACUUCUGCGUUUCUGAAUCAGUGAUCAAGUCAAAGGGAUGACUGAUUAAUAGUUAAUUUGAUUUGCUGCAUGUAUGAAUUUUCAUUUGAAAGCUGAUGGGGCACAGACAUAUUUUUCUCCAGAAGAAAAAGUGCUGAAGUAGAAAUUAAACCCCACUUCAGCUUUUACCAAGAAAGCUCACACCGAUUAUUCAAGCACCCACAUUAUAUAUAUAUAUAUGUAUUGAUUGGUCUGUUAACUUUUAAAUUUAUUAGUUUGGAAACAAAUCUGAAUACUCUAUAAAUGCUUUAAAGAAAUUUUAAAAUGCAUUUUAUCUCCUAAAAACAUGCAAUUAUGUGAAACUUCCUUUUGUUGUUCCCACUAUUUUUUAGUUAUAUCUAGAAAUAUCAUCUGGACAAAAUAUGUAGGCACUUUAUAAAUAUCAUUUGAUAAUUUUCUGUUUAAUUAGCAUAUUUUUUCAGUUUUAAGGCUUUCUUAGUGGGACAUGUUAGCAGUCUGAAAUCAGGAUGUGUACAUUGUAAUUUCAGUGAACAUUUCAUUGAGUGUUUCCUGUCUGUUUCAUCUCCCACUUCCUCACCUCCACCUCCCAUCCUCACCCCCAGUACCAAAAGGCCAUUAUUGAAUCUAUGUUGCUUCUUGGGCAUUUUAGAAUUGAUGAUAUGUGCAAAGUGCAUGCUUAAAUGAUAGAUGGCUCUCAUUGACUUGGCAAAAAUGAGGGAGUGAGAAUAUUGUCUGACCAAAUAAGGCAGAACAAGAAUUCCUUUGAUUUCCAAACCAUUGUCUCCCCCAUCCUCUUUAUUUUGAAUGUGGCUCUGUGUAUGCCUGACAAGUGUGAGUUUGAGAAGACUUCUGCACUGUCUAAAGGAGCAAAAAAAACCGUAUCAGGUACCUUAAAAUUAUCUCUAAUAUUUUAAAGUUAUUUUAGUAAGCUGAUGAGGUCAAUUAGUUAUUGGUACUAGAGGGAACACUUUUCCUUUUGUCUAGAGAUUAGGUUAAAACUUAGAAUCCUAAAAUGUUAAAUUAAAGGGUUUUUUUUUUUGACAGAGUCUGGCUCUGUCACCCAGGCUGGAGUACAGUGGCACGGUCUUUGCUCACUGCAACUUCCACCUCCUGCGUUCAAGCGAUUUUCCUGUCUCAGCCUCCCAAGUAGCUGGUACUACAAGCACGUGCCACCAUGCCCGGCUAAUUUUUUUUUGUUUUGUUUUGUUUUUUGUAUUUUUAGUAGAGACAGUGUCUUCCCGUGUUAGCCAGGAUGGUCUCCAUCUCCUGACCUGGUGAUUCACCAGCCUCAGCUUCCCAAAGUGCUGGGAUUACAAGUGUGAGCCCCUGCACUCGGCCUAAAGAGAGAAUUUUAAAUGUUGUCCAUCCAGGCAACAUUUUUGUUUUGUUUUGUUUUUUGAGACGAAGUUUCGCUCUUGUUACCCAGGCUGGAGUGCAAUGGCGCGAUCUCGGCUCACCGCAACCUCCGCCUCCUGGGUUCAGGCAAUUCUCCUGCCUCAGCCUCCAGAGUAGCUGGGAUUACAGGCACGCACCACCGUGCCCAGCUAAUUUUUUGUAUUUUUAGUAGAGACAGGGUUUCACCAUGUUGACCAGGAUGGUCUCGAUCUCUCGACCUCAUGAUCCACCCGCCUCGGCCUCCCAAAGUGCUGGGAUUACAGGCUUGAGCCACCGCGCCCGGCCCAAAGUUUGGAUAAGGAAUCUUGCCCUCUAGGAACCUUCUUCUAGCUUUGGGUUCACAGUUCUGUUUGAUAAUUCCUCAGCCCAAUGAGGAAUUAUGAGAUUAUGAGAAGUUCUUAGACUCCCUACCCAUUACUUUUUUUUUUUUUUUUUUGAGACGGAGUUUCACUCUUGUUACCCAGGCUGGAGUGCAAUGGCGCGAUCUCGGCUCACCGAAAACUCCGCCUCCUGGGUUCAGGCAAUUCUCCAGCCUCAGCCUCCCGAGUAGUUGGGAUUACAGGCGUGCGCCACCAUGCCCAGCUAAUUUUUUGUAUUUUUAGUAGAGAUGGGGUUUCACCAUGGUGACCAGGAUGGUCCUGAUCUCUUGACCUCAUGAUCCACCCGCCUUGGCCUCCCAAAGUGCUGGGAUUACAGGCUUGAGCCACCGCGCCGGGCCCUACCCAUUACUUUUGACCUAAAAAUACCAGCAUUUAAUCCAAUUGAAAUUUUCUGGUUGCUAUAAAUGAAUUAAAUUGCUUAUUCCUCAGCAAAAUGUUCAAACCUCAGUUGUGCCACCUCUUAGCUUUGCUGGUCACAUUACUUAAUGUCUCUGAGCCUUAGUCACUUAUUCAAGUCAUUCAAAAAUGAUUGUUGUAAAUGAAAUGUUCCAGCAUAAGCCUAGAUGCUGAGUAUACAUUGCUAAACAACACAGAUAUAGUUCCUGCUCUUAAAGAGCUCUGCUCAUGAGAAUUCAUGAGAAUGAGUUGCCAAUUACAAAGCAGAAGAUAAGUUCUGUGAUAAAGAUAACUUCAGCUUGGAAAUGGGGGCACAUGGUGCAGGCAGGCCUUUCAGAGAGAUUACAUUAAAGCUGAGAUAUGAAGGAUGUUAGUAGUAAGGCAGUUAAGAGGAAUUAGGAGUGCUUUUAUUUCCUCCACUGUAAAAUGGGACACACCUUCCUUAUUGGGUCAUAGUAAGAAACAGAGACAAUAAAUAUAAUGCAUCAGGAAUGUACCUGAUAAUUCAGUGUAGGGCCAGAAAACACAUAUUAAAUGUAUACUACUAUACGCGAUUGGGUUGAAAAAUGAGUAGGAUGCUGGACCCAUCCUCCUGGGUCCUGGAGGCCAGAAGUAGAGCUCUAGCUCCCUAUAUUGUCUCUGCUGCUCUUACCCAGUCUAUUGUACUUGCCUAUUUACAUGUCUGAACUUGGAGUCUACCAGCUUAGUGAGGCCAGGAAUGCUUCUCUCUUGCUCACUGCUGCACUCUUUAUGCUCCCAGUUUCCUGGUGCCUGUGGACUUUUAUUCAUCUCAUCUCUUGCAGCAGAUGUGGCCACCUCCAUUUUCCCUUUCCUUUCCAGAUCACACCUGCCCGGCAUUCAAUUUCCAGUGCCUACAUUUAUCUGUCUGAAAGUUUUCUCUGGCUGUUGAGGCCCAUUCAGCUCAUGCAAGAGGAAGGGAGGCAGGAAAUGUGAGGGAAUGAAGCCUGCUCCAGAUUCUUUUAACAGUGUCAGAUAACAGGUGGUAGAGAAGUACACCAGCUCCCUAGCCCCUGGGCGAGACAGCUCCAAGGUGUGUGUUCUACACUGACUCCCAGAAUCUCCCCAGUAGUAUUUAAUUCUAGUCACUCAUAGCAGAAACUUGAUCAAUAAUUUUUUUUCCAUUGACUGUUUUCUCUUUUGUCUUACUUCCCCCACUUCCUUACCAGUGAUUCCUGGGAUUCCCCCUCCGCCAUUUAUACUUUAAUCCUUGUCUUAGGGUCUGUUCGAAAUAAAAUGUCCCAUAAGCAUCUAAAUCCCUGUCCUAUUUUUAGGGAAUGUCACCACCUAUAAAGAGCCCAUCUCCCAUGAUUGGAACUGAAAACGUCAGAUACACUUGCAUCUCCAGCUGUCCUUGCAGCCAGGGUUAGGCACUUAGCUUGCACUUUGCCAAUCAGGCACACCAACCCCAGUCUCUAAACUGGAAGCUAGUCAUGAAGAGGUAGGAAAUGUCCAGAAUUGAUUCUGUUGACAGACGGUGGAAGAUACAACAAUCUGAAUGGUAGCUUUCAAAAUCCAGUGUUGGUGACAUGUGGUGCACCCGAAGACAUGGAGCAUGGCAAUAAUGGUGGCUUCGCCAGAGCACUUCUACUUUGAGAUUUUUGAGCACUGCCCCUUCCCUUGUGGUCUCCCAGCCUGGUUCUUGAUUCUCUCAGAUUCUUUGAGCUCUCCAAUAUCUUUACAAUAUAUUUAUUUCCUGCCAAAAUGUCAAAGUUUGUUUCUGUAACUUGUCACUCAGAAUGCUAUCUGUUUGUAUCCAUCAAGAUCCAGCUGGGAAAAUAACCUCCUAGGUCAUUCAAACAGAUUGGAUUUAAUGCAGAUACAUGGUUAAAAGGGUGGUAGAGAAGCUGGAAAGCCCUGCAAGGAGCAAGGAGGCAGCCCGGCAAUUAGUAGCAGCUGGAAGCUGCUAUCACCCUUCGGGCUGUGGGACAGUGAAGAAAGAGCUUGCUGUUUAACAGGACGUAGAACCACAGUAGGGGUUGAAAUAGGCCUGUAAGUCAAAAGGUUGUUGACAUGUACAUGUAAUAGAAACUCAAAUACUUUUUGGCUAAAUGAAUAAAGGGAUUAAUCAGGGAGAAGGCUGAGACCAGAACUGCAUAUUAUACCAAUUCUAAAAGGUUAGGGGAAUAAGAAGAUUCUCUCUAAAAAGAAGCAAUCCUAGGAGGAAAACAGGCAAAGAUAGUGUGUCCUGGAAACCAUAGCUCUGAAAUAAUCAAAUCUGCCAGACUCUUAACUGAAUUUCUACCAAACAGACCUCCGAAUUCUUCACUGAGUCCAGAGGACUCAGAGUGCUUAUCCAUAAGCUCUGGGCAUCAUAGCUUCUACUCCAGGCUAUUCCCUUGGUAACUUGUGUUAUUAAGGGGGAUAACAGUGCUUGCCAGUUUUACUUGGGCAAGAUGAGAAGCAAUGAAUAAGGAAGAUUUUAGAAUACUUGGCAAAAGAGAGAAAUGUGUCACAACAAGCAUCUUAAUUAAUAAACUAGAGAUAAGCACAUUUACUCUCAGUUUUAAUUUAUGGACUAUCCUAUAUGGCUUACAUGAAUUAAAGGAAUGUAUUACCUCUGUUAGUGACAGCGCUGCCUUACUGCAUAAAAGAAAGCAAAAGUCUGUUGAAGUUUAUGGGAAGAAACAUAGUCAAAAGGUAAGAGCAUAGGUUUUUCUUCUUUCUUUCUUCACUUAUUUAUACCUCUUUUAGUAAUUAUUUUAGUAAGUAUGUAUAUAUAUGUCAAAAUCAUAUACAUUCAUGAUGUAUAACAUGAUGUUUUGAAAUAUGUGUAAAUUAAGUUAAUUAACAUAUGCAUUAUCUCAUACUUUUUUGUAUGUGGUGAGAAUAUCAUCUAGUCUCAGCCAUUUUCAAGUAUAUAAUACAUUGUUAUUAACAAUAGUUACCAUGUUAUUCAAUAGAUUUCUUGAACUUAUUUCUCCUAAGUAAAAUUUUAUAACCUUUGGUCAAUAUCUCCCCUCUCACCCUUUCCCCAGCCCCCGGUGCCCACCAUCUACUCUUUGCUUUUAUGGGUUUCAAUUUUUUAGAUUCCACGCAUAGGUGAGAUGGUGCCUUGUCUUUCUGUGACUGGUUUAUUUCACUUAGUAUAGUGUCUGUGAGUUUCAUGCAUGUUGUUACAAAUUACGGAAUUUCUUAUUUUAAGGCUGUAUAGUAUUAUGUUGUGUAUAUAGACCAUGUUUCUUUAUUGCCUCAUGCACUGAUGGAUGCUUAAGUUAGUUCCGUCGCCUGGCUACUGUGAAGAAAGCUUCCAUGAACACUGGAAUGCAGAUAUGGGGAAAAGUAUAGAUUAGACACUCAGACCUCAUUUUAAUCUCAGCUCUGCUGCACAUUAGCCUUGUGAUUUUAAAUGUAUUUCACAGUGAGUUUCAGCUUAUAUUUAAAAUGCAUAUUAUAAUAAUAAUUCCUGGCUUAGAAUUAUGAUAAUUUUUAUGAUUGUGUGGGCAAGGCUUCUCCCACGAUGCCCACACAGAAUGGGCACUUCAUAAAUAUUUGUUCCCUUCCUCUAUCUCUCCCCUUCCCCUGCCCCUUCUUUUUUUUUUUUUUAAACCAUUGCUAUAAACUAGGGGACAAAGUGAGAAAGUAAACCAAAAUGGUUUUUUUUAAGGGAAAAAUAGGGUAGCAUGAAUUGGUUUUAUAGAGAAAUGCUUAAAGGAUUGAAACCCCAAACACCAUUCUCCCACUCAUUAUUGAAAGCACCAAAAUCCAUGGGAAUUAUAAAUCCAGAGCCAUUUGGCUCAGAAUUUUACAUGUUAAAAAAAUUCAUCUGCACUUAUUUUGCUUCUUACAAAAUUAUCACUUCCCAUAGCUGCCUUAAAAUGUCUACUUGCUUAUAUUGUGUGUGAGAUUUCAUGCUUAGGUGGUGUCUUGGUGUUUCUGUGACCCAAGCAAGGAGUUCCUGUCACUGUGUCACACUGUUUCUUCCUGACACAGCUGGAAAUACGAUCGCCUCAAGGCCUGUCACAAAGGACUGGGCCUUUGCUACAGGUCAGCAAUAGCAAGGAGUGUUGCCAAGAUACAACACAAAACAAGACCUUUAGGUCUCCCUCUGGGUUUCUAGAACAGCUGUCUCUAGCUCAGCUGUUGAAGUUUCAGCUCCUUCAUUGAAAUCCAAACACAUCUGUCCCCCAGACAGGAAAAUACCUAAUAAAUUGUUUUCCUCCAUGCUGGCUCAUCUUGUGGUUUUAUGUGGCUCUUAAAGGCAGUGUGAGGGCUGAGGACCUCAGCAGGGCCUGCCCAAGGACAGAGGCACACCCGGUGAUAGGUCACUAAUGUAGAAAAGUGUCAUGACCCCUGGAUGUCACAACCCUUAGGCUGUUCACAGAUUGGCGUGGCUUUAACACAUCAUGUAGAGCUCUGGCAAAUUCAGGCCUCACUUAAAUGUUAUCCUUAUGCAGCCAACCUGCAUGCCUUCUCUUUCGUUUUUUUAAUUAUUAUUUAGCUGAAUCCUUUUUUGUUCAUUUAAUUUCAGAGCACCACAGGGAUAUUUACCCCCUUAUUAAUACGUCAGUUAUCUGUGUUUAAAUGUCAAGUUUUAGUAUUGUGACUUGCUGUUUUAGGAAAUAUUAUUUCAAACCAAAAUGUAAUCUUUUUUUUUUUUUUUUUUUUAAAAGAGAUUAUAGUGUCAAGCCAAACUUAACUUAGGUUCUAGGCAGAAGAGGUAAAAGCAACAAGUUUUCCCUCCUUCAUAAUUAGGUUAUCCCUGCAGGUUCCUUUUCCAGACAGGAAAACCCCUUCCAGGGUAAUGGAGACCCAUGUUAUGGGUUGGUGAAAUAGAAAGUUCUUCCCUUCCUGAGAAUGUUCCCUGGCAGUGCAGACUCCAUGGUGGGUGCUUCCACCAUGCCCUGUAGUCUUGAGACCUCUCUUAGAACCUGGUGCUCUAGAAUCACUGCAGAAGCACUAGGUUCUCCUAUACUCCCUCCUUCUUUCCUUCCUUCCUUCCUUCCUUCCUUCCUUCCUUCCUUCCUUCCUUCCUUCCUUCCUUCUUUAUUAAUACUAACCAAAUGGCCAUAGUUAACCAAGUCCUGUUCCUUGAGGAUUACUUCAGAUGUGUUUAGCCAUUUAUUUUAAUAUCUAAUUUCAUAUUCUAAAUAGAAUACUACCUCUACACGCUUCUAGUAUGGUAGAUAACAACUUCUCCCUUAAAUCCUUUUGGCCUUCCUUUAUCCUUCCAGUUUAUUACAUCACGAUUUUCAGGGUUUGUAUUAUUGUGACAAUGGAAAUGUUUUCUGUUGAGCCGAGGAGCAUACUAUCAUUACAACUCCUUUCUUGUUCAAUUGUCAUUUUUCCUAGAGCUGAUAAUUUACUCAUUAAAAAAAAAAAAUGACCUGGUUUUCUCUGUACAUGUUAUUGUCUUUGCUUCCCCUAAUAUCCGACAAUAUUCAAGACACUGUUUUCAGCACAGUAUCAGUUCCACAAUUAAUUUUUUUAUAAUAACUUUAUAAGAUAGGUAACUAUAGUCUGUGUACAGAUGGGACGCAUGAAGCACAGAGAAAUUAAUUGGCUCACAUAAGAUGGUAACUGGCAGAGCCAGGACUCAAACCUGGGCAGUCUGGCUCCUGCACUCAUGUUCCCAAGCAUAAGACAUAUAGCACCUGGAUGCAUAACUACCUACACUAGCAGCUGUACCAGCUAAUCCAAUUAGUUGAAUUUUUUUUUAACAGAGCUCUUCCUCCUCCAUAUGCCUCUGGACUCUUGUUGCAUCUGUAUUGCUUGUUUUCUAAUCCUAAGUAGAGUUGUCAAAUUCAGACUUAUUUUCAUUAUUUUCCAGGGAAUUUCUUUCAUCUUCCUCCUGUGUUGAUUCCUUAUUUUCUGGAUAUCAUAUUGUCUUUCUUGCGUUAGGUAAAGCUCAUCUUUUAGAAGACUUCUUGAGAAAAGGUGUGCGGGUGGUCAAGAUUCCUUCCAUCUUAAAUGGCAGAAAGCAUUUGUAUUUUUCCUUGCUGGUACUGGGUAUUUACUGCCAUUUUAUUUUUGAUUAUGUAUACGUGACCUAUUGUUUCCUUUCUUGAAAGUUUUACUGUCUUCCUGGUGUACUGAAAUUUUACAACAGAGCUGGGUCUUUUUGCAUUUAUUGUGCUAGAUGCUGAAUAGGCCUUUUCAAUAUAGGAACUCAUGUUCUUCAGGUCCAACAUUUUUUCCUUAAUCUUUCUUUUGAUAUAUUUUUUUUCUAGAUCUGAUUGGUAGAAUGUUGCGCCUGCUGCAGUGAGCUUUUAGUUUCUUCUGUUUUGCCUUCUAUUUUUUUCUUAAUAUUUUGAGAUAUUUUCUUACCUUUAUUUUCCAAAUCUUACAUACACAUGCACACAGUUUUAGUUAUCAUAAUAUUUAAAUUUCUAAGAACAUUUUGUUUUUUAAUAAUUACCUCCACUUAUAUCCUCUUUUUCCUACUAGCUUCCUGACUUUAAAGAUAAAUAGCUUAUCUUGUAUCUAUCUCCAAGGUCAUUAAAUAUAGUUUAAUUAAAGUUUCCUUCUUUUAGUAUAUUGCCUCUGUUUCUUUUGAGUUUCCUUUCUUCCUUCCUUCUGCUUUCGUGUGUUUAUCUUUUGUGCUGGACGCUUUCUUAAAAUGUCAGAUCAUUCUUGGCUAUCUAUUCAUAUUUUAAAAGUUAGAUAUAAAAAAAAAAUGCCCAUAGGAAGUUCUGUGCAGUGGGACUUGGUUUGUGGCCUGUGAGGUACACUGUGGAAUAAUUGGUUGAAUUGGCUUUUUAAUUUUGGGAUCCCUAUAGGUCAGUACCGAUAGGCCUUCAUUAUUAGAAACAAGCUACAAAAAGUAAAAACAAAAAAAUUAAACUGCCAUGGACAACCUAUGUCUAUGAGGUAAAAGUGGAUAGCCUUUGGGUGUGUACACUAAACUUAUUGAGUGAUACCUACAUACUGCCUUCCAUGAUGAAUAAUAACUUUCACCUGGAGUUUAAAAACCGCUAGAAUCACUAAAAGGACCUGCUAUUUUCUAUAUGCCGUGAUCAUUUUUUGCUCUGUUUUUUUUUUUUUUUUUUUUUUUUCAAUCUGACUGCUCUGCUGUUUGACAAAGAAUGUUACCACAUGCCAAACACAAGGUUUGGGAAAGUUCCUCAUAUUCCUAUGUGGCAUAUCUCUGCUCCUGGGCAUGGGGUAAGCAGGCAUUUGGUGACCUCUCUGCUUAUGUUGCCUGGUACCCUGAGGCUCUGGCAGAAUUACUGUGAGGCCGUUCACCUUGGCUCAGCCUGAAAUCUACUCUGACAGAUUUAUUGGCUCUUAAACAUUUAUUCAAGCAGAAUGUCUAAACCAAUAUAAGGUUUCAUUCAUUUGCCCUGCAGGGAGAGAAAGAGAGAUGAAAACUGUGAGGGGUGAAACUCCACAGAGAUGUAACUCCACCCCAACCCCACCCUUGCAUAUUUACCAAGAAAUGAAAUUAUCAUUUCCUUCCUGUUUUACCUCUCUUUUCUAUCAGAGCUUUUCUCAGUCUAUUGGUAUGUGAAAAGUACACUGAGGAAAGGAAAUUAACAAGAUCAAUCAAUAACCGCUUACUCCUUUAUAGCAUAUUUGUUUUGUAAGGGAAAAUAUUGAAUAAGAUAUGUAAGAAAAUUGCAAUCUUCUCUAGAUUUUCUAGGAAUUGGGAUGGAGAAAAUGGUUUGAAUUUAAAUAAAAUUGAAUUUAGAGCAAUAAGGAAAACCAUGUAAUGAAAACCAGUGCUAAUAUUAUCUAUAUUUUAUUGAUGAAAAAAUAUAGCUUAGAGAGGUUAAAUGACUAGGCACAAUUUACUCAGAUGGUAAGUGUUGAAGUUAUAGCCCAGUCUCAGGUUUCAGUUCCAAAGGUCAUGUACUUCUAUUGAAUGAGUCAGUAGUCUACAAACCUGACUGACACAGCUUUCUAGCUCUACCUGCUUAGAGCAUUGACGUGCUUCUGUGUGCUGAGACACAUAGAACUGCUGGAUAAAACAAAACUAUUUUGCAUACAAAGCCGAUAGAGAGACAGGUAAACAGAAAGAAGAGAGGAAAUGUCCAUGUUCCACAGAUAACGAAGAACCUUAUAGCCAGCAUGGUAAAUGCAUGAGCUGAUGCCAGAACAGUGAAGAGGGUAUUAGACCUGGCCAUAGGACCUAACAGCUACGGGUUGGGCUUUAACACACAUAUAGAAUAAACGACUUAACCUUGGGCCUGUGAAAGGUGAGAACUUAGAACUGAAGACCUGCUCGCCUCAUUCAAGGGGACUACAAAACAGAUUGUUCAUGUGCUAGAAAGCAACUGGUAAAAUUCUCACUGAUUAGAUAUCUGGAUGAGAAAAAGUUUCUCAUAGUAAAUAGAAAUUUAAAAAACUGUGCUGGCUGGGAAUGGUGGCUCAUGCCUGUAAUCUCAGAGCUUUGAGAGGCCAAUAUAGGGGAAUCACUUGAGGCCAGGAAUUUGAGACCAGCCUGGGCAGCAUAGCAAGAUCUCAUCUUUACAGAAAUCUCAGAGUUUAGGAUGAGUUCAUGUCCUUUGCAGGGACAUGGAUGAAGCUGGAGACCAUCAUUCUCAGCAAACUAACAUAAGAACCAAAAACCAAACACUACAUGUUCUCACUCAUAAGUGGGAGUUGAACAAUGAGAACAUGUGGACACAGGGAGGGGAACAUCACACACCAGGGCCUGUCAGGCAGUGGUGGGCUAGGGGAGGGAUGGCAUUAGGAGAAAUACCUAAUGUAGAUGAUCAAUUGAUGGGUGCAGCAAACCACAAUGGCUCAUGUAUACCUAUGUAACCUACAUGUUCUGCACAUGUACCCCAGAACUUAAAGUAUAAAAAAACUCAGAGCUCUGAGAGGCCAAAGUGGGAGGAUAGCUUGAAGCAAGAAAUUCAAGACCAGCCUGGGGGACAGAGCAAGACCCCAUCUUUACAAAAUAUAAAAAUUAAAAAAUGAAUUGGUCAUGGUGGUGCACCUAUAGUCUUAGCGACUUGGGAGGCUAAGGCGGGAGGAUGGCUUGAACCAAGGAGUUCAAGGCCGUAGUCUUCUAUGAUUGAGCCACUGCACUACAGCCUGGGUGAUAGAGCAAGACUCUGUUUCUGAAAACAAAUCUGUGCUGUGCAUAGUUAUAGAAUCCAAAUUUUACUCUAUUUGCAUAGUAUAGGAAUCUCAAAUGGAUAUAUUAAUGUAGAUGUCAUAAAUACUUCAGGCUAGUGUAACUCCUGGAGUUUCCAGAGGAAUCAAAUGUAAAACUUGUCUAAAAUGUUACUACCACAUCUUAAGGUACACAGGAAUGCCACAGGGAAGAAAUAUUCUAGCUGAAAAUAUAUUCACAAUGAAAAAGUACAAACCAAAUAAAGAGUUCAAAUAUGGAAGAGUCAGCAGACACAUAUGAGAGAAAUAGCACCCUAAGAACAUGAGAUAAUGUAACAAUCUAAAACUGUCUAGAAAUUAAGAAUAUUUAUACUCUUUAAAGAGAUAGAGAGGAAUAAAAACUCUCAUGAAAACACAGGACAUUAAAAAAGAAUGGGAACAUCUGAAAAACAACCAAAUAGAAUAAUUCAAGAUAGAAGAAUCAUAAAAUUAAACAUAGUGGCCAACUUUAAGAGCAUAUUGGGCAUGGUUGAAGAGAGAGUUAGUGAUGUGAAAGCUGUAUCUGAGGAGAUUACCCAAAGUGCUGCAGAGAAAGAUAAAGAGGGCUACAAUCCAAAAGAGAAAUUAAAGGAUAUGGAAGAUUAAAUUAAAGUUACAACUUAGGUCUAAUGGAAGUUUCAAAAGGAGAAAAUGGAGAAGGUGCAAUAUUUUAAGUGAAAAUGGCUGUGAAUUUUCUAGAACUUAUAAAAGGCAGAAGCAGAUUGAAUUUUCCAGAACUUAUAAAAGGCAGAAGCAGUCUCAGAUUGAAGAAGCACACCAACUCCUGUGCAUCAUAUAAAAUCUACAGCUAGAUGCAUCAUUUGAAGUGCAGAACACUGAAGACAAGGGAAUUCUAGUGGAAGAUCAAGUGGAGAGAAAAGACAGUAUAUGAAGAGAAAAUUAUUAGAAUAACAGAGGACAUCAGCCUAAUAGCGACCAGAAGGCAAGUCUGACCAGUUAUCUGAAACUCCUGAAAAGUACAUUAAAAUACAAUAUUAUGGUUCUACUUCAUACUCCAAGGUAGGUUCAGAAAUACACAUAUUAAAAAAAGCUUCUUGGAUCAUCAAGUAGUUUUAAAAACUCUUUUAUUCCUUAACACCAUAUACAUAAGCAGACGUAUAUGUAUGUAUACUCACACACACUGAUCUCAAGGCUUUAAUUUACUUCACAGCCUCCCCCACUAAAAAAAUGAAGGAAUUAAAAUAAUCACCAAGGAUCAUUUUUAAAGUGUAUUUUCCCCCAAUAAUUUCUAGAGGAGCUAUGCUAUAUGGUGCCAGAAGCUUAUCCAAAAAGAACAAGGAAAAGGCAUACAAACAUCUUUGACCUCACAGUUCCAUUUCUGCCUCCAUCUUCACUAACAUAUGCAUGAUUUGGAUUGAAGGACAUGUUGUUCCAGCUAAUAAUUUCAGAAUCCUAUGUGUUUGUGUGACAAGAUGAAUGAAUGAUCCCAUGCUUGUGGAACCUUUGGCAAGAUAUGCUUCCUAUAUUUCAUAUUGAAUAUAAAAGGACACUUGACCUGCCAGUACCAGAAUUUAGUCUACUUUGCCUUCAUACACAUCUGUUCUCAGAUUAAUGGUGGUUUAUGUAAUUGCUAUAAUAAAGGAUAAUUUUAUAUUAAAGUAAUACUGGCUACAAUUAGAACAUUUAUAAUAGUCAUGCUUUUUGAACUAGUAGCAAUACCUCCAGGAAUUUAUCUUAAAUAUCCAAAACAUAUACAUACAAAACCCCUUUAUCCUCAAAUAUGUUCAUUCCAGUAUGAAUAUGAUAGGAAAAACUCCGGAAGCCUCUAGAAAAGUUGGAAGGCAAUAAGAUCUUGUUACACUGUUCCAAACACAGAUAAUAAUGUAUUUUUUCUUGGCUUGAACUCCUCACACAUAUACUUUGCUUUUUUCCUUUUAAUAGAGAAUGCUUAGAUAAAUAAUGGUACAUCCACAUGACAGAUCUAUGCCAGUAUAAAAAUUAUGCUUUUAACAGGCAGUUCAAAAAAAGAAGAAAUAAAAAUCUGCCAUACACACAUAAAGAAAUAUCUAACCUCAUUAGUAAUAAGGGACAUAAUUUCUUAUUUAUGUCAGAAUACAUAAAUAAAAAUACCACAUAGUUUUUCUAUAAUGAUUAGUAAUAGCCGGUGUUGGUGAAGUCAUAGAGAAAUGUCACUUGGCUGCUGGUAUUAUCAGUCAGUAUGUCCUUUCCAGAUAAAAGCUUGGUAGUAUGUAGCCAAAGCCUGAAAAAUUCAUGUAAAUUAUUUUUUGCUUAGCAAUUCCAUGGAGUGGGUGUGUAUGUGUAUGUGUUUAUAUAUUUUUUAAUUAGGACAAGUAUAGCAUUUCUUAUAUUAUAAAAACUUGGAAUAUCCUAAGUGCCCAAAAGUAGAAAUUAUUUAAAUAAAAGUUAUGCUAUACAAUACGAUACAGUUAGAAAAGAUAUUAAUAAUACAUAGGUAAUAAUAAAAAAUUAUAAAAUUCCAUAUAAAAAAUAAUUUUGUUAAAUUAUAUAUAAGAACACAUAAAAUGUCAAGAAAAUAUGUAGUAAGAAUUGGUAAUAAUUAUCUCUGAAUGGUAGAGACUAUAGUGGUUUUUAUUUUCUUUGCUUUUUGCAUAGCGUUUUCUUUUACAUUUUGAAAUGAAAAUUUUAAUAUUUUAAUAAAAAUAAAAUACAAACUUAGGUCAUAAAAAUUCUUUUAAUAAGAUGAGAUAAUGCCAAUAUGGCAAAAGAUAGAUUGCUUUACAAUUACAACUAGGUAGGAAUGUGUACAUUAAAAUAAAGAAAGAAAAAAAGGAAGAAAGAAAAGGAGUGAAGGAUGAAAGGCAGGCAGGCUGAAAGACAUCUCUUCUAACCAGUUUUCUUUGACCAGUAGAAUUUGGGGCAAAUAUUUUCAACUCUCAUGAACUUUUAUACUUUCUAAUAUAUUACCAAUUUUAUACUUAGAAAAACAAGAAAGAAUUUUAUUUUUUAAAUGUAAAAUUGAACUUAACAAAGUAAUCAGCAUCUUUCUGCCAUAUUUUAUUUUAUUCACUUGUCUGCUAUAUCAAGUCUCCAUUUUUAGGCCUAACAUCAAGUUUCUGGGCUCAACCAAGCCACCACUUUAGGGAAAUUUACAUAAAAUUUCUCUACUGAAUUUAUUAUUUCAAUCAGUGACAACAAGACUUUCUAGAAUCCUCUUGUGACUCUAGCAGGGAGCUGAGCAGGAUUAGACCUUGCUCAUCUCCACUCAGCAUUCCAUCUCUGUCUCCAGGGGGGAUGGAAAGCUGCUAUGAGAUCUUGGCACCACUUUGCAGACUCAUGUUGUAGUGAAUUUGCUUUUUGGCUUGAACUUCCCACACAUAUGCUUUCCCUUUCCGCUUUCAAGCAGAGGGCUCCUUGCCUGCACCAGUCUGGAUGUCAGCAGGUGGCCUGCUGGCCUCAAAAGCUUUCUGCAUGAAUUACUGUGUGUGGUUUCUGCACAUUGAAACUUGGCACCCACACAUACACACACCUCCCUUGCUCCUUUCCCCUCCCCCUGCAACACUGUGUAUUCCAUAGAAGCCAUCAAGAUUUUUGGCUUGGAUAUUGGGCCAAAGCAAGACUUUCCUCAAAGAAUCACCUAAUUUCUGCUUAUUAAGAUACUGUACCUCAUUUCCCUUUCCAGACAAAGCACGUGUUCCCAUCACUUUCCAGCUUGUAGGCUCUCCUUCUCUAGUCCAGACUGCAUAUAACUACCGGAUAAAGUGGAUCUGGUCACUCAAUGUCUCUAGAAUCUUAUGUAGCUGCCCUCACAUUCAGAAUUAUGUAUGUAUUUCUUAGGGGUGAACAAGGUCCUUCAUGAUAGGACCCCAAGUUAUCUACUCAGCCCUCAUCUUUACCACACAUUUCCCAUGUUUUUUCUGCGGCAUAACAUGAGGUAUCCAGACUUUACCUGCUUUCUCACUCUUCUCUGCUUUUCCAUAUGCUGUUCCUUUUGCCUUUGCAAUUUUUUCCCUGGCCAAUGCCUCCUUAUUCUUCAAAAGUUCAUUUGAGUGUUUCCACUGGAAAGCCUAUCCUGACUCCAACACCUUCCCCUGUACCCCAAUCCAACUCCGGAUACUCCUACAAACAUGGAAUAGUAUUUGCCAGUAAUAUCUGUCUUUCACUGGAUCCUAAGGUCCUUGCAGGCAGAGAUAGGGCCUUUUUGUGGUUUUAUUCUAGCACCUAGCCUAGCUUUGGGUAAAUAGCAAGCACUCAAAAAUGUAUCCAGCAAUUCUGCUCAUGGGUAUAAUCCCAAUAUUUGCAAGACAUGUUCAAGAAUGCUUACAAAAGCAUUACUUGACUUAAUCCCAAACAGAACAUGAUCUAAAUGUCUAAUACAUGUGGAAUGGAUAGUAAAUCAUGUCACUUUAAAUAAAUCCUUUACAACGAGGAGACUGAAUGAAUUACAACUACAUGCAACAAUAUGAAUGAAUCUCACAAACAUAAUGUUGAGUGAAAGAAGUCAGACAUAAAAGAGUCAGUGAUGUAUAAUUCCAUUCAUAUGAGCUCAAAAGCAGGCAAAAGUUGCAUUCAUGGUAUUAGAAUUCAUGACAGUAGUUACCUUGAGGAUAUAGAGUAACUGAUAGGGGGCAACUGGGAGCCCAGUAAUGUUCUAUUUCUUGAUCUGGGUGCUGGAUACAUGGACAUUGUUACACUGUAAAAAUUCAUCAAGUUGUAUAUGUAUGAUUUACACAUAUGUGUAUAUUUUAUACUUUCAUAAAAAUUUUAAUUGAGAAAAGUUCCCUUUGUGAAACAUAUUUCUCUGUGGCGUUUAGGAUAGUGAUGUAAAUGGAGAGUGUAAGUUUGACUCAAGUCCAUCGCCAGCUUGACUGAUGCUCUUUUCCCCACUCAGAAUGGUACUGCAUGGUAGAAGAGAAAAGUAAGAGAAAAACCAUUUUCCUAGACAAAGGUUAGCAUUUGCUUUAAGAAAUGUGAUGGUCGCGGGGGUGAUGGAGUCAGCAAACCAUCAUGGCAUGCAGUUACCUAUACAACAAUCCUGCAGGAUGCAGGAUAUGCACAUGUACCCCAGAGGCCAAAGUACAAUAGAAAAAAAAGAAAAGAAAGAAAUGUGAUGGUCAAUUGUGUCAGCAGGUGUUCUUUGGAUAGUUUGACUUCUCAACUUGAAUUUCAGAAAGUACAAAUAAUUUUGGAGUAAGUCAGGAUAUAAAUAAACAAAUUAGAAUUUUCCUCUUUUCUUGUUAUCUCCAUCCAUCAGCUCUUAAGGCUUCUGUCUUCAAUGAAAAUAGGCUUAUUGGCUUGCACACAUCAAUCAAAUCUGUCACAGACCUUAUUGAUUCACAUUUUACCACUGCAGUUUAAAAUUGGUUUUCCUCUUCUUGCUACAAGAAUUGUCCUUAAUUAUCGAAAUUAAUGACUUUGAGCUGAAGUUUUUUUGCUCCAAAUUUUAAGCCUAUAAAUAUCAGACUAUGGAUAUUAAAAUAAUACAUUUUCUCUCUUUAAACAAACACACAAAUGUGGAGAAGGAGCCUGGAAGUCUUGUCUCUGAGAUAGCGUCAGUCAUCUUGGCGGCUGCCUUCUGCAGCCUGCACACUGGAGCCAGUCCAGCCAUAGCUGCCAUAACUCGCCGGAUUUCUCUUUUACAUUCCGUAAUAAAAGACUUUCAAUGUCUGCACAGAUGGGAAUUCUGCUGCCACCUUCUCAUUUCACAUUUCCUGCACUUUCUUUCCAAAGCGCUUGCCUGCCUGAAAUAGAAUCGUAGUUUUUUUCAGUCUACGUGUAGGAAUUUAGUGGGAGAAUGGACAGGGUAUCUGUAGUUCCGUAUAAUUACCACACCAUGAAGUAAUUUUCCUGUUGACUAUAAGGUACUUAAAGGAGGCAGAAAGGUGCUCAGAGGUUUUUCAGAGAACUGCACCUGAUUUUCUUUCUGGAGACAGUUGGAAAGGGCCCAUGAAGAGGCAGGAUGUCAGUGUUGACCGCAUGAGCCUUUAGGAAAGAGGAGGCAGUAGCCUUUGCCUGGCUUGCCACCUACUAGGCUCCCUCACGAAUCCCCUGCCCUCAUGAGAUCUCUUCCCAAAGGGAUAUCCCCCCAUCCUCUGCCUUUUUAAACUGGGCUCCCACAAGGAUCAAAUGUCCAUGUUUCUCUCUGCCUAGUUGAAUUCUCUCUAUCCUUCAAGACUAUCUCUGAUCAUACCUUUUCUGGGAAGCCUUCCUGAAUAGCUUGAGCUGGAAGUAAUUUCCCCUAUGUCUGAACACAGAGCCUCUAAUGAUCGCAUAUUCUUCUGUUGCUCACACACAAAGACAAUAUGCAGUAAUAAAAGCUAAUGAAAUAAAUGACAUUUACUGAGUACUUAUGUGCCAGGCACUAUCUUUUCACUUUACAUGUGUGAAGCCAGAAUUCUUACAGUGAUUUUUAUGGGGUAGGUUAUAUUAUUAUUCCCAUUUUACAGAUGAGGAUCCUGAGAUAUAUUAUGAUAUCAUACCUAAUCAGAUCAGAAGCUCCACUUACCAUCUCUCUGACUUAUUGAUUUGCCUCUUUCACCGCACAAAGCUCAGGUCCUUGCAAUCAGUAAUUUCUUGGCUAAUAUUUGUCUAUUUAUUAAUGUGCUUAAUGGAACUUCAGACCAUGAAAGUAAAAUUUGAAAAACAUUUCUGAUGGUCAGAUACACUACUUUUCAUCUUCUGUCAACAGGGCAGGACUGUGAAAUGAUGUGGUGGGGUUGAUAAAAAUCACCAUAAUAAAAAAAAAUCCUUAGUUAAUAUGCACUGUAUGCCAGAUGCUGUGGUAAGUGAUGUAUGUUCAUUACAUUUCUUAAUCUCAGGUUCAGAGAUUAAAGGAUCAGAGAGAGAUUGAAAAAUGCUUUCAAUAAGAUCAAAUAAAUAGAUGAAGGCAAAGGGAAUACAACUGUUUUAAGUUAGAAAAAUCCUAGGUUUAGUUAUUACCCCAGAAUGACUGUUCUAAGGAUCCUCCUUUGGUGGUGAGACACAAAUUUGACUCUAAGCCUUCUAGUGUUUAUGGCAAAAACAGACACACAAUCAAUUAUAGCACCUACACACUAAGCUAAAGACAAACCAGCUAUUUGAAGGUAGCACUCAUAAAUGUUGAAUCAAACCAUUUCUUCUUACAAUUCUCAACAUAGGCCAUUCCCAUCUUGCAGAAGAGCAGAAUGGUAAAAUCCAUUCUAGGAGGAGGCAGAUUACUGGGCUUAAGUAUGCAGUUGAGUUUGGCUUAAUGUACGAUACCUAAGAGCUGGAUGGACUGCACAUGUUUCAGAAAAAUUCUCUAUGAAUGUUAUUUCUCAUAACCACUGUGUCAUACUCUCUGUGCCAGACAAUUAUCCUUCCUUUUUCAACUAAAAGCUGCGUAGGUAUUUUGGUAUAACUCUUAUUAACAUCCUUUAGAAUUAGCAUGCCAGGAAUAGUCUUUGGAAAACCUAGUCCUGUGGGCAAUAUAGAACUUUAAAAACUGACUUUUCCAAGGGGAAAAUGAAAUCCAAACUCCUUUGUAUUAUUUAUGGUACUUUUCACAACCUGAUCUCAACCUGCUUUCUAGACCGAAUUCAUUGUCCUCCUUUCAGCACCUUCAUGCUUCCUUCAAACCAGUCUCAUGAAAAUGUUCAGUGCUUUUACUCAUUGAAACCUCAUAGACACUUCCUAGAAACCCCUCUUCUCUUUCCCUUCUUCCCUGUUUCUCCACCUAGUGGGUCUUGAAGGACGUUGCCUUUCCUGCAAACCCCGAUUCCAUCUAACAAUUGAUUUUACCCUAUACUAGAGUCCUAUAGCAUCUUGCUUAUAUCACAUUUUAUUAUCCUCUUUUGUUAGCAUCUCUGAUUUUUCUGCCAAACUGUGAGCUCCUCCAGGGUAGAAUGUGUUUUAUUUACCUUUGUAUCUCAGCACUGGGGACAUAGUCUGACCUGGACUCAUUUCACCAAGUAUUUAUUGUUUCCUGCACUGACAAAGCGAGCUGGGACAAUUCUUAUUCUAAGAUGCUACAUAAAAAAAAAAAAAAAAAAUGUUACUCCACAGGUGACCCACGUAUGUUUCCAUUAUUCUCUGAAGCUAUUUGGUGCUAUGCAGAUUGAUUAUUCAGUACUAUUUGGUAUAAAAAGGAUAAUCUAGUAAAUGGGUUGAACUACAAAUGGAAUGCACUAAACUCUUUUUUUCUCAGUUUUUUCCAGAUUUGAAAAGCUCCAAAGAAAGCUGUACCUGUAUGUUGCCAUUUAUUUCAAGUGUUUUCUCUUUUUGUGUAACAUCUGUCAUGCCAAAGAAUUUCACUUGUGUUUGGCAUGUGGAUGAAUCACUUCAGCCACCAAUAAAACGUACAGCCCUUACAGGUAAAACAGAGCAACUACCCCAGAAGACCUUGACAAUAUUACAGCAGAGCUAAGAGGUGGGUCAGAAAGGAAAAAAAUGACUUUCUUCCUACUGGCCUGACAUAAAUAGGACUUUUAAGAACUAAAUUACCAAAUUUUCCUGUCGUUGAAAGGACCUAUUUGGGUAAAGGUCACAGUAAGUAUUAUGCAAAUCUGAUCUUAUUUCUGGACUUCAAAAAUCUUUUAAUCCUUCAUCCAUUACAAAAAGUAAUAUUAUAGACAUUCAGAGCCAUAUAAGCACUGCACAAAUAUGAAAUUUUUCACAAAUGGAGUUUCAAAAAUGUGUUGAGCAAUGGAAAUAUUUUGGGUAUAGAAAUUGGAAACAGUAUUUGAAGAGUUACUUUGCAUCAAUUUGCUUAUGGCUAAUAUUAACCAGUUCAACAAAGUUAAUGCCGUGAUGGGAGGGGGACAAAUCUUGGGAAGGAAUAUUCUCAUCUUGCAAAGCAUCUGCCUCAAGGAAUGCCUCUGUAAUACUUUUAGACAAAAAAUACUGAACUAACUCCACAGGCCCAGAGGGUUCAAGGAUUCUGAGGACUCAAGGUUCUCAAAUUCCUUCAUCUAGAUGUUCUUAUCCUAUGUCCCAGGAUCCCAUUUUCUUUCCCUAUCAAGGCUAGACUUCAGAAUAUGAGGUUUAGUAGAACUUCAAAUUGAGCCUUCUCUGCAAUUUGACUCUCUCAGUUAGGUCCUGGGACUGAUUUUAAGCCAAUAGGCCUUAAGAUCACAUUAUCUGACUUCAAAUUAUGGUACAGAGCUAUAGGAAUGAAAACAACAUCAUAUUAGCAUAAUAACAGACACACAUACCAAUGGAAUAGAAUAGAUAACCCAGAAACAAAUCCAUGAAUCUACAGUAAACUUAUUUGUGACAAAGGUGCAAAAACAUACAUUGGGGAAAAAUAGUCUCUUCCAUAAAUGGUGCUGGGAAACUGGAUAUCCAUAUGGAGCAGGAUGAAACUAGACCCCUAUCUCUUGCCAUACACAAAAAUAGAAUCAAAAUGGAUUAAAGACUUAAACCUAAGUCCUCAAACUAUGAACUUACUAAAAGAAAAUAUUUGGGAAACUGUCCAGAACACUGGGGCAAAGACUUCUUGAGUAAUAUCCCACAAGCACAGGCAACCAAAGCCAAAAAAAAAUAUGGACAAAUAGGAACACAUCAAGUUAAAAGCUUCCACACAGCAAAGGAAGCAAUCUACAAAGUGAAGAGAUAACCCAUAACAAAUUGAAACUACAGUGAGAUAUCUCUGCAGUGAAAAUGGCUUUUAUCCAAAAGUCAGGUAAUAAUAAAUGCUGGUGAAGGUAUGGAGAAAAGGGAAUCCUCAUACACUGUUGGUGGGAAUGUAAAUUAAUACCAUCACUAUGGGGAACAGUAUGGAGGUUCCUUACAAAACUAAAAAUAGAGCUACCAUAUGAUUCAGGAAUCCCAUUGCAAGGUAUAUACCAAAAAGAAAAGUAAUCAGUAUAUUGAAGAAAUACCUGCACUAUCAUGUUUAUUGCAGCAUUAUUCAUAAUAGCCAAGAUUUGGGAGCAAUUUAAGUGUUCAUCCACAGAUGAAUGGAUAAAGAAAACGUGGUAUAUAUACUGAAGAGAUACAGUCAUUUACAACAACAUUGUUGGAACUGGAGGUCAUUAUGUCAAGUGAAAUAAUCCAGGCACAGAAAGACAAACUUUACAUGUUCUCACUUAUUUGUGGGAGGUAAAAAUUAAAACAAUACUCUUGUAGACAGAGAAUAGAAAGAUGGUUAUUAGAGGGUGGGAAGGGUAGUGAGGGGAAGAGGAGAUGGUUAAUGGGUACAAAAAUUCGAAUGAAUAAAAACUAGCAUUUGAUAGCACAAGAUUACUAUAGUCAAUAAUAAUUUAAUUAUACAUUUCAAAAUAACCGAAAGAGUAUAAUUAUAUUGUUUGCAGCACCAAGGAUAAAUGCUUGAUGUGAUAGAUACCUUAUUUGACCUGAUGUGAUUAUUAUGUAUUGCAUUGCCUCUAUCAAAAUAUCUCAUGUGUACCAUAAAUAUAUACACCUACUAUAUACCUACAAAAAUUAAAACACAAUGAAACAAAAUGAAAAAAUUGGCUGAUUUCUCAUUCUUCAGCUCUCAGCUUAAAUGUGACUUCACUUAAGUCCUAGGGAGUUCUUCCUUCACUGUUCUAUCUGCAGUAGAUCACCUCAUAAACUUCAUCAUCCCUGCACACUCUUUCCUUUAUAACAUGUAUGACAAUCUUUAAUUAUUGCAUGUGUGUGUAUAAAAUUUUUUGUCUGUACUUAGAGCUAGAAUAAGGCCUAUUAAAAUGUAGUGCUAGUUCAGGGCUUGGCACAAAAUAGACUCUUUUUAAAUGCUAUUUUUUAUUUAUUUAUUUAUUUAUUUAUUUAUUUAUUUAUUUAUUUAUUUAUUUAUUGCAUUUUAGGUUCUGGGGUACAUGUAAAGAACAUGCAGGACUGUCACAUAGGUACAUACAUGGCAAUGUGGUUUGCUGCCUCCAUCCCCAUUACCUAUAUCUGGCAUUUAUCCCCAUAUUAUCCCUCCCCAAAUCCCUACCCCCAACUGUCCCUCCCCUAGUCCCCCAACCCACAGACCUCAGUGUGUGAUGCUCUCCUCUCUGUGUCCAUGUGUUCUCAUUGUUCAACACCUGCCUAUGAGUGAGAAUAUGCAGUGUUUGAUUUUCUGUUCUUGUGUUAGUUUGCUGAAAACAAUAGUUUCCAGGUUCAUCCAUGUCCCUACAAAGGACACAAAAAUCAUCAUUUUUUAUGGCUGCAUAGUAUUCCAUGGUGUGUAUGUGCCACAUUUUCCCUGUCCAAUAUAUCAUCGAUGGGCAUUUGGAUUGGUUCCAAGUCUUUUGCUAUUGUAAACAGUGCCACAAUGAACAUAUGUGUGCAUGUGUCCUUAUAAUAGAAAAAUUUAUAAUCCUUUGGGUAUAUACCCAGUAAUGGGAUUUCUGGGUCAAAUGGAAUUUCUAUUUCUAGGUCCUUGAGGAAGUGCCACACUGUCUUCCAUAAUGAUUGAACUAAUUUACAGUCCCACCAACAGUGUAAAAGUGUUCCUAUUUCUCCACAUCCUCUCCAGCAUCUGUUGUCUCCAGAUUUUUAAUGAUUGCCAUUCUAACUGGUAUGAGAUAGUAUCUCAAUGUACUUUUGAUUUGCAUUUCUCUAGUGACCAGUGAUAAUGAGCAUUUUUUCAUAUGUUUGUUGGCCUCAUAUAUGUCUUCCUUUGAAAAGUGUCUGUUCAUGUCCUUUGCCCACUUUUGAAUGCCUUUGCUUGUUUCUUGUAAAUCUCUUUUAGUUUUUUGUAUAUUAUGGAUAUAAGUCCUUUUUCAGAUGGGUAGAUUGUGAAUUUUUUUUCUCAUUCUGUUGGUUGCCAGUUCACUCUAGUGAUUCUUUCUUUUGCUGUUCAGAAGCUCUGGAGUUUAAAUAGAUCCCAUUUGUCUAUUUUGACUUUUGUUGCCAAUGCUUUUGGUGUUUUAAUCAUGAAGUCCUUGCCUAUGCCUAUGUCCUGAAUGGUUUUGCCUAUGUUUUCUCCUAAGGUUUUUAUGGUGUUAGGUCUUAUGUUUAAGUCUUUAAUGCAUCUGGAGUUAAUUUUAGUGUAUAGUGUCAGGAAGGGGUCCAAUUUCUGCUUUCUGCACAUGGCUAGCCAGUUUUCCCAACACCAUUUAUUAAAUAGGGAAUCCUUUCCCCAUUGCUUGUUUUUGUCAGCUUUGUCAAAGAUCAGAUGAUUGUAGAUGUGUGGUGUUGCCUCUGAGGCCACUGUUCUGUUCCAUUGGUCUAUAUCUCUGUUUUGGUAUCAGUACCAUACUGUUUUGAUUACUGCAGCCUUGUAAUAUAGUUUGAAAUCAGGUAGCAUGAUGCUUCCAGAUUUGUUCUUUUUGCUUAGAAUUGACUUGGCUGUGCGGGCUCUCUUUUGGUUCCUUAUGAAGUUUAAGGUGGUUUUGUCCAGUUCUGUAAAGAAGGUCAUUGGUAGCUUGUUGGGGAUAGCAUUGAAUCUAUAAAUUACUUUGGGCAGUAUGGCCAUUUUCACAAUAUUGAUUCUUUUUAACCAUGAGGGUGGAAUGUUUUUCCAUUUGUUUUUGUCCUCUCUUAUUUCAUUGAGCAGUGGUUUGUAGUUCUCCUUGAAGAGGUCCUUUACAUCCUUUGUUAGUUAUAUUCCUAGGUAUUUUAUUCUCUUUGUAGCAAUUGUGAAUGGCAGUUGGUUCUUGAUUUGGCUGUCUUUUAGUCUGUUAUUGGUGUAUAGGAAUGCUUGUGAUUUUUGCACCUUGAUUUUGUAUCCUGAGACUUUGCUAAAGUUGCUUAUCAGUUUCAGGAGUUUUUGGGCUGAGAUGAUGGGGUCUUCUAAAUAUACAAUCAUGUCAUCUGCAAAUAGAGACAAUUUGACUUCCUCCUUUCCUAAUUGAAUACUCUUUAUUUCUUUUUCUUGCCUGAUUGCUCUGGCCAGAACUUCCAAUACUAUAUUGAAUAGGAGUGGUGAGAGAGGGCAUCCUUGUCUAGUGCCAGAUUUCAAAGGGAAUGCUUCCAGUUUUUGCCCAUUCAGUAUGAUAUUGGCUGUGGGUUUGUCAUAAAUAGCUUUUAUUAUUUUGAGAUAUGUUCCAUCAAUACCUAGUUUUUAGCAUAAAAGGCUAUUGAAUUUUGUUGAAGGCCUUCUCUGCAUCUAGUGAGAUAAUCAUGUGGUUUUUAUCUUUGGUUCUGUUUAUGUGGUGAAUUACAUUUACAGACUUGUAUGUGUUAAACCAGCCUUGCAUCCCUGGAAUGACCUACUUGAUCGUGACGGAUAAGCUUUUUCAUGUGCUGAUGCAAAUGGUUUGCCAAUAUUUUAUUGACGAUUUUUGCAUCUAUGUUCAUCAUGGAUAUUGGCCUGAAGUUUUCUUUUCUUGUUGAGUCUCUGCCAGGUUUUGGUAUCAGGAUGGUGUUGGUCUCAUAAAAUGAUCUGGGGAGGAUUCCCUCUUUUUGGAUUGUUUGGAAUAUUUUCAGAAGGAAUGGUACCUGCUGCUCUUUGUGUGUCUGGUAGAAUACAGCUAUGGACCCAUCUGGACUGGGGCUUUUUUUUUUUUUUUUGGUUGGUAAGCUAUUAAUUGCUACCUCACCUUCAGCCCUUGUUAUUGGCCUAUUCAGGGUUUUGACUUCUUCCUGGUUCAGGCUUGGGAGGGUGUGAGUGUCCAGGAAUUUAUCUAUUUCUUCCAGGUUUACUGGUUUGUGUGCAUAGAGUUGUUUGUAAUAAUCUCUGAUGGUGGUUUGUAUUUCUGUGGAAUCUGUGGUGAUAUCCCCUUUAUCAUUUUUUAUUGCAUCUAUUUUAUUAUUCUCUCUUUUCUUUUUUAUUAAUUUGGCUAGUGUCUAUUUUGUUGAUCUUUUCAAAAAACCAGCUCCUGGAUAUAUUGAUUUUUUUAAGGAUUUUUUGUGUCUCUAUCUCCUUCAGUUCUGCUCUGAUCUUAGUUAUUUCUUAUCUUCUGCUAGCCUUUGAGUUUUUUUUAUCUUGCUCCUCUAGCUAUUUCAAUUUUGAUGAUAGGGUGUCAAUUUUAGAUCUUCCCUUGCUUCUCAUGUGGGCAUUUAUUGCUAUAAGUUUUCCUUUAGAGGCUACUUUAAGUGUGUCCCAGAGAUUCUGGUACGUUGUGUCUUUGCUCUCAUUGAUUUCAAAGAACAUCUUUAUUUCUGCCUUCAUUUCAUUGUUUAUCCAGUCAACAUGCAAGAGCCAGUUGUUCAGUUUCCAUGAAGUUGUGUUGUUCUUAUUUUCUGAAUUCUGAGUGCUAGUUUGAUCGCACUAUGGUCUGAGAGACUGUUUGGUAUGAUUUCAGUUCUUUUGCAUUUGCUGAGCAGUGCUUUCCAAUUAUGUGGUCAAUUUUAGAGUAGGUGAAGAAUGUAUAUUCUGUGGAUUUGGGGUGGAGAGUUCUGCAAAUGUCUAUUAGGUUUGCUUGGUCCAGGUCUGAGUUCAUGUCCUGGGUAUUCUUGUUAAUUUUCUGUCUCAUUGAUCUGUCUAAUAUUGACAGUGGAGUGUUAAAUUAUUGUGUGGGAGUCUAAGUCUCUCUGUAGGUCAUUGAAAACUUGCUUUAUGUACGUGGGUGCUCUUGUAUUGGUUGCAUGUAUAUUUAGGAUUGUUAGCUCUUCAUGAUGCAUUGUUCCUUUUACCAUUAUGUAAUGCCCUUUUUUUGUCUCUUUUGAUUUUUGUUGGUUUAAAGUCUAUUUAAUCAGAGACUAAGAUUGCAACUCCUGCUUUUUUUUGCUGUCCAUUUGUUUGAUACAUCUUUCUCCAUCCCUUUAUUUUAAGCCUAUGUGUGUCCUUGCACAUGAGAUGGGUUUCCUGAAUACAGCACACCAAUGGGUCUUGACUUUUUAUCCAAUUUGUCAGUCUGUGUCUUUCAAUUGGUGUAUUUAGCACAUUUACAUAUAAGAUUAAUAUUGUUCUGUGUAAAUUUGAUCCUGCCAUUUUGAUGCUAGCUGGAUGUUUUGCCUGUUAGUUGAUGCAUUUUUUUCAUUGUGUUGAUGGUCUUUACCAUUUGCUGUUUUUGUAGUGGCCAGUACUGUUUGUUCCUAUCUGUGUUAAGUGCUGCUUUCAGGAGUUCUUGUAAAGCAGGCCUGCUGGUGAUGAAAUCUCUGAGCAAUUGCUUGUUCAUAAAGGAUUUUAUUUCUCCUUCACUUAUGAAGCUUAGUUUGGCUGGAUAUGAAAUUCUAGGUUGAAACUAUUUUCUUUAAGGAUGCUGAAUAUUGGCCCCCACUCUCUUCUGGCUUAUAGGGUUUCUGCUGAAAGAUCUGCUGUGAAUCUGAUGGAAUUCCAUUUGUGGGUAACCUGACUUUUCUCUCUUACUGCCCUUAGCAUUUUUUCCUUUAUUUCAACCCUGGUGAAUCUGAUGAUUAUGUGCCUUGGGGUUACUCUUCUUGAGGAAUAUCUUUGUGGUGUUUUCUCUGUAUUUCCUGGACUUGAAUGUUGACCUGCUUUUCUAGGUUGGGGAAGUUCUCCUGGAUAAUAUCCAGAAGAGUGUUUUCCAGCUUGGAUUCAUUCUCUCCAUCACAUUCAGAUCCACCUAUCAAAAAUAGGUUAGGUCUUUUCACAUAAUCCCAUAUUUCUUGGAGGCUUUGUUCAUUUAUUUUUACUCUUUUUUCUCUAAUCUUGCCUUCUCAUUUUAUUUCAUUGAGUUGAUCUUCAAUCUCUGAUAUCCUUUCUUCUGCUUGGUCAGUUUGGCUACUGAAACUUGUGUCUGCCUCACCAAGUUCUUGUGUUGUGUUUUUCAUCUUCAUCAAUUCAUUUAUAUUCCUUUCUAAGCUGUUUAUUCUUGCUAGCAUUUUGUCAAACCUUUUUUCAACGUUCUUAGUUUCUUUACAUUGGGUUAGAACAUGAUCUUUUAGCUCAGAGAAGUUUGUUAUUACCCAUCUUCUGAAGCCUGUUUCUGUCAAUUCAUCAGACUCAUUCUCUAUCCAGCCUUGAUCCCUUGCUGGUGAGGAGUUGCGAUACCUUGGAGGAAGGAGGCAUUCUUGUUUUGGGUAUUUUCAUCCUUUUUGCACUGGUUUAUUCCUAUCUUUGUGGAUUUAUCUACCUGUGGUCUUUGUGGUUGGUGACUUUCAGAUGGGGUCUCUGAGUGGAUGUCCUUUUUGUUGCUGAUGAAGUUAUUUCUUUCUGUUUCUUAGUUUUCCUUCUAGCACUCAGACCCCCUGCUGUAGGACUGCUGUAGGUCCACUCCAGACCCUGCUUGCCUGGGAAUCACCUUCAGUGGCUAUAGAACAAUAAGGGUUGCUGCCAGUUUCUUCUUCUGUUAUCUUUGUCCCAGAAGGAUACCCACCAGAUGUCAGCCUAAGCUCUCCUUUAUGAGGUGUCUCUUUGGUUAUACAGGGGUUGGGAAGCUUCUUGAGGAGACAGUCUGUCCCUUACAGGAGCUCAACUGCUGAGCUGUGAGCUCCAUUGUUCUGUUCAGAGCUGCUGGGCAGGUACUUUUAAGUCUGUUGCAGCAGAACUCAUAAAUGCCUUUUUUUCCCCAGGUGCUCUGUCCCUGGAAUGUGGGGCUUUAUUUAAAAGUUCCUGUCAUUCUGCUGCCUUUUUUCAGAGAUGCCCUGCCCAGUGAGGAGGUAGCCUGGUCACAGACUGCCAGCAGAGGUGUUGCUGAGCUGCUGUGGGCUCUCCCUAGCUGCUGUGUGAACUUCCUUGCCAUUUUGUUUAUAGGUGUAUAGUUAGAACUGCCUUGGUAAUGACAGUCUGCCUCAGUAAUGGAGGACUGUCUCUGUAAUGAUGGACUGCCUUGGUAAUGGCAGACUGCCUCAGUAAUGGCGGACUGCCUGGGUAAUGGCAAAUUGCCUCAAUAAUGGCAGACUUCCUCGGCAAUCGCGGACUGCCUCGGUAAUGGACUGCCUCAGUAAUGGUGGACUGCCUCUGUAGUGGUAGACUGCCUCGGUAAUGGUGGACACCCUUCCCCCCACAGAGCUAGACCAUCCCGGGUCCAGCAGUGCUUGCUGUGAAAUUCUCAAUCCAGAGUGUUUCAGAUUACUGGUGUUUGUGGGGUAGGACCAGCUGAGCCAGAUCACCUGGCUCCCUGUUUCAGUCCCCUUUUUUUCAGUUGAAUGGGUGACUGUCUCCCAGGCAUUCCAGUCACCAGUUGAAACAGUGCCCAGAUUUGUGUGAGUUUUUGUGCAGAGACAUGCUGCGCCAGCUGAAACAGCUGUGCUGGAGACUCAUGGUGCUUUUCCACCUGGAAAUCUCCUGGUCUGUGGCCAGUAAAAAUUCAUUUGGAAAUACAAUGAUCACUCACCCUCUGCAUUUUCACUGGAAACUGCAAUCCAGAGCUGUUCCCAUUAAGCCAUCUUGGAUCCUCAACCCAAAACAGACUCUUAAUAAAUAUUUUGUAGUUAAACAAACAUCUGAAUUACUUCAUUAUGGAACUGGGGACCAUUAUUCUAAGUGAAGUAACUCAGGAAUACAAAACCAAACAUCAUAUGUUCUUAUUCAUAAGUGGGAGCUAAGCUAUGAGGACUCAAAGGUAUAAGAAUAAUACAAUGGUCUUUGGGUACUCAGGUGAAAGGAUGGGAGGGGGUGAGGAAUAGAAGACCACACACUGGGUAGAGUGUACCCUGUUUGGGUGAUGGGUGCACCAAAAUCUCAGAAAUCACCAUUAAAUAACUUAUGUAACCAAACACCACCUAUUUCCCAAAAAACUAUUGAAAUUUAAAAAAAGGAUAUAUAGUGAAAUAAAUUUAUUUCAUUGAGAUUGAGUGUAUAAAUGAUAUAUAAAACAUUUCAAUUAUAUUUUUAUGUGCACCAAACUCUAGAUGCAAAUGAUAUUUCAUAAAGUUCAAAAGUGUUUUUUAUUAGAACAAUGACUUGAUGCUACACCGAAAAUAGCAGUAUCUCUAGAAACUUUAUGGAUUUUUAAUGCACAAUGAUGCUUCAGAUGCUCACAUCUGUCAUUCUUGCAAUAUUUUCUUGAAAUUUGUCAAUUUCUUUAUCUAUUAUAAAUAAAUCAUGCAAAACUUGAGUUGUGAAAGAAUGACACAUUUUGAGAGCACUAAGUAUAAAUGAUUAUAUAUACAGUGAGGCAUAACCUUCCCUCGUGCCCACCAGCCAAAUCGUUCAAAUUCCUUUGAUGCUGGAGUUAAGUAAGAAAGGCAGUGUAGGACUGAAAUAAAUUCACCUCUGAAAUGCCAAUCACAGAAGUGCCCAUCAGCUUUGAGCCCUGCCUUGAUUGAACAUUGGAUAUGCAUGACAAUGAGCUAUGUGCCACUGUCAUAGGAUUUGUAUCCAUAAUCAAAAAAAUGUGAGGGCUAAAUUUCAGGUGCACAUUAAACCUACUGCGGGUAAUAGAUCAUGAUCUUUCAAAGCCAUGAACAAUCACUUAACGUCCAUUUCCUCUUCAGCCACCUGGAACAUCAAAUCAAGAAGCAUCCUUGAAAGGCUCAGAUUUUGAAUUGCAAAGUGAUACCCAAAACAUCUAGCUAUUAUACAUAAAGCUGGGCAAGAAGAAAUAAAACAAGUGGUGGAUUUUUAAAAGAGAAUUUUGGCUUGCAUCUUUUAUACAUGAGGUGGAUUAUUCCCAAGGAGACAGAAAAAGAAAACUACUUUCUCCCUUCUGGAAGUAUCUGGAUUCAUAUUACAUACAGAUAAGAUGAUGCAAAAUCUGAGAAUCUCCCUUCGUGGGGCAAAGGAGCAUCUAAACAUAUCAAGAUCCAGGUUAUAGGACCCAGUUUUUUAGGUGGUAGCAACGCACUCAAGGAAGAUGCAGCCCUUCCUCCAGCCUGAGAGAAUGAAGCAUCAUUGACUUAUACCAACCAUAGCAAUCCCAUUUCCCUUUGCUCAUGAUUUAUUUGGGAAUGCGCAAGUGACCCAGUCCUGACCAAUCAGACCAAAGAAACAGUCUAUUGGUCAGCUCAUCUCAGAAGAUCUUUGUUUCCUGCUAUGAAGAGAAGCAGUAAGUUUCUUCCUGCCUGACUUAAACGCAAUUGUGUGCAAACAUGUUACUUGGAGCUACAGCAAUCAUUUUGUGACCAUGAGGCAAUAAACCAAGGACAAAGGAUAGAAUAGUGAAAAGAUAGAGUAUCAUUCAACUGCUGGACCAAUCUGGAACCAUCUGCUUUCAGUCUCUCAUGAUUUGUGAGAUUAUUAAAAAUUUCUAUUGUUUUA